AUUGAACGCUGGCGGCAUGCCUAACACAUGCAAGUCGAGCGGAUGAAGGGAGCUUGCUCCUGGAUUCAUCGGCGGACGGGUGAGUAAUGCCUAUGAAUCUGCCUGGUAGUGGGGGAUAACGUCCUGAAACGGGCUCUAAUACCGCAUACGUCCUGAUGGAGAAAGUGGGUGAUCUUCGGACCUCACGCUAUCAUAUGAGCCUAGGCCGGAUUAGCUAGUUGGUGGGGUAAAGGCAUACCAAGGCUACGAUCCGUAACUGGUCUGAGAGCAUGAUCAGUCACACUGGCUCUGAGAAACGGCACAGACUCUGACGCGGAGACGCAGUGGGGACUCUUGGACAAUGGGCGAAAGCCGGAUACAGCAAAGCGGCGUGUGUGAAGAAGGACUUCGGAUUGUAAAGCAAUUUAAGUUGGGAGGAAGGGAAGUACUUUAAUACCUUGCUGUUUUGACGUUACCAACAGAAUAAGCACCGGCUAACUCCGUG
rnacentral:rRNA from 1 species